GACGUAGGGUGCGAGCGUUGUCCGGAUUUAUUGGGCGUAAAGAGCUCGUAGGCGGCUUGUCGCGUCGACCGUGAAAACUUGGGGCUCAACCCCAAGCCUGCGGUCGAUACGGUCAGGCUAGAGUUCGGUAGGGGAGACUGGAAUUCCUGGUGUAGCGGUGAAAUGCGCAGAUAUUAGGAGGAACACCCGUGGCGAAAGCGGCUCUCUGGGACGGUACUGACGCCGAGACGCGAAAGCGUGGGGAGCAAACAGG
rnacentral:rRNA from 1 species